AUUGAACGCUGGCGGAAUGCUUUACACAUGCAAGUCGAACGGCAGCACGGGGGCAGCCCUGGUGGCGAGCGGCGAACGGGUGAGUAAUACAUCGGAACGUGCCCGGUCGUGGGGGAUAACGUAGCGAAAGUUACGCUAAUACCGCAUACGAUCUGAGGAUGAAAGCGGGGGACCUUCGGGCCUCGCGCGAUCGGAGCGGCCGAUGUCAGAUUAGGUAGUUGGUGGGGUAAAGGCCUACCAAGCCGACGAUCUGUAGCUGGUCUGAGAGGACGACCAGCCACACUGGGACUGAGACACGGCCCAGACUCCUACGGGAGGCAGCAGUGGGGAAUUUUGGACAAUGGGCGCAAGCCUGAUCCAGCCAUUCCGCGUGCAGGACGAAGGCCUUCGGGUUGUAAACUGCUUUUGUACGGAACGAAAAGGCUCUGGCUAAUACCUGGGGCUCAUGACGGUACCGUAAGAAUAAGCACCGGCUAACUACGUG
rnacentral:rRNA from 1 species